AGAAUGGUGAAGAGGGCUGGGAAAUGCAUACUGUGAUUUGGGGAAGUGUAUCUGGUGCAUAAAGACUGUCCAACUCUUGUAUUUAGAAGAUUUGCAGCAGUGGAAGAGUCCUGAAGAAAUCGAAGGCCAUGUGAAGAUGUGCCUGCUUCGCCUUCCAUCAUGACAGAAGUUUCCUGAGGCCUCCCCAGCUAUGCUCCCUAUACAGCCUGCAGAACGGUCGGCUGCCUCCAAUCCUGAGGUCAUCACUCAUCAAGAGGGGAUAAUCCCAGGGACAGCAGGAUCUGCUUCGUUACUUGGAUUUAGGAGCCAGAAACCCAUCAGGCAACUAAACAGUAACAAUGACCCACCAUUAAACACACUGAGAGAAGAGCAUGAUGAGGAGUUUGUACAAGAAAAAGCCAGGAGCACUUGCUGACAAUGCUUACAGAGAUGCAGACUUCUAUGAGCUCUGCCUGUUGAACUGCAGUAAAAAUAGAUCUCCUUCCCCAGAGAUGCUUGGAUGUUGGCACAAUAUCAGUUCAGAUGAUAGUCAAUGCAUGGACUUAAUAGAGUGAAAAGACUUUGGACUGUGAAGUCAGAUUACCUGGGUCUGAAUUCUACUUCUUCUACUUCUUUGUAGUAUGCUUUCACCACAUUAAAAA